rnacentral:rRNA from 1 species
UACAGAGGGUGCAAGCGUUAAUCGGAAUUACUGGGCGUAAAGCGCGCGUAGGCGGCUGUCUGAGUCGGGUGUGAAAGCCCCGGGCUCAACUCGGGAACUGCGCUUGAUACUGUCGAGCUAGAGUGUGGAAGGGGCGAUUGGAAUUCCGUGUGUAGCGGUGAAAUGCGUAGAUAUACGGAGGAACACCAGAGGCGAAGGCGGAUCGCUGGGCCAACACUGACGCUGAGACGCGAAAGCUAGGGUAGCAAACGGGAUUAGAUACCCGGGUAGU